UACGGGGGGGGCAAGCGUUGUUCGGAAUUACUGGGCGUAAAGGGCGCGUAGGCGGUUUGUUAAGUUGGAUGUGAAAACUGUGGGCUCAACCCACAGCCUGCAUCCAAUACUGACAGGCUAGAGUUCUGGAGGGGAUAGCGGAAUUCCUGGUGUAGCGGUGAAAUGCGUAGAUAUCAGGAGGAACACCGGUGGCGAAGGCAGCCCCCUGGGCUAGCACUGACGCUCAGGCACGAAAGCGUGGGGAGCAAACAGG
rnacentral:rRNA from 1 species